rnacentral:rRNA from 1 species
GACGAACGCUGGCGGCGUGCUUAACACAUGCAAGUCGAACGAAGUGGCGAACGGGUGAGUAACGCGUAAUCAAACUGCCCUUCAGAGGGGGACAACAGUCGGAAACGACUGCUAAUACCGCAUACUGAAGGAGGGGAUUGCGUCUGAUUAGCUAGUUGGUGGGGUGACGGCCCACCAAGUCGAUGAUCAGUAGCCGGUCUGAGAGGAUGAACGGCCACAUUGGGACUGGGACACGGCCCAGGCUCCUACGGGAUGCAGCAGUGGGGAAUCUUCCGCAAUGGACGAAAGUCUGACGGAGCAACGCCGCGUGAGAGAUGACGACCUUCGGGUUGUAAAGCUCUGUUGAUCGGGACGCGGUACCGGAAUAGAAAGCAACGGCUAACUACGUGCCAGCAGCCGCGGUAAUAC